CAACCCUUAUCCUUUGUUGCCAGCGAUUAGGUCGGGAACUCAAAGGAGACUGCCAGUGAUAAACUGGAGGAAGGUGGGGAUGACGUCAAGUCAUCAUGGCCCUUACGACCAGGGCUACACACGUGCUACAAUGGCGCAUACAAAGAGAAGCGACCUCGCGAGAGCAAGCGGACCUCAUAAAGUGCGUCGUAGUCCGGAUUGGAGUCUGCAACUCGACUCCAUGAAGUCGGAAUCGCUAGUAAUCGUGGAUCAGAAUGCCACGGUGAAUACGUUCCCGGGCCUUGUACACACCGCCCGUCACACCAUGGGAGUGGGUUGCAAAAGAAGUAGGUAGCUUAACCUUCGGGAGGGCGCUUACCACUUUGUGAUUCAUGACUGGGGUGAAGUCGUAACAAGGUAACCGUAGGGGAACCUGCGGUUGGAUCACCU
rnacentral:rRNA from 1 species